rnacentral:rRNA from 1 species
GACGGAGGAUGCAAGUGUUAUCCGGAAUCACUGGGCGUAAAGCGUCUGUAGGUGGUUUAAUAAGUCAACUGUUAAAUCUUGAGGCUCAACCUCAAAAUCGCAGUCGAAACUAUUAGGCUAGAGUAUAGUAGGGGUAAAGGGAAUUUCCAGUGGAGCGGUGAAAUGCGUAGAGAUUGGAAAGAACACCGAUGGCGAAGGCACUCUGCUGGGCCGACACUGACACUGAGAGACGAAAGCUAGGGGAGCAAAUGGG